ACGGGAGGCAGCAGUGGGGAAUAUUGCACAAUGGGGGAAACCCUGAUGCAGCGACGCCGCGUGAGCGAUGAAGUAUUUCGGUAUGUAAAGCUCUAUCAGCAAGGAAGAUAAUGACGGUACUUGACUAAGAAGCUCCGGCUAAAUACGUGCCAGCAGCCGCGGUAAUACGUAUGGAGCAAGCGUUAUCCGGAUUUACUGGGUGUAAAGGGAGCGUAGACGGUCGGGCAAGUCUGAUGUGAAAGCCCGGGGCUCAACCCCGGAACUGCAUUGGAAACUGUUUGACUAGAGUGCAGGAGAGGUAAGUGGAAUUCCUAGUGUAGCGGUGAAAUGCGUAGAUAUUAGGAGGAACACCAGUGGCGAAGGCGGCUUACUGGACGGUAACUGACGUUGAGGCUCGAAAGCGUGGGGAGCAAACAGGAUUAGAUACCCUGGUA
rnacentral:rRNA from 1 species